UGGGGAAUUUUGGACAAUGGGGGCAACCCUGAUCCAGCCAUCCGCAUGAGUGAAGAAGGCCUUCGGGUUGUAAAGCUCUUUCAGCAGGCACGAAACGGUGGUCCCUAAUACGGGUUACUAAUGACGGUACCUGAAGAAGAAGCACCGGCUAACUACGUGCCAGCAGCCGCGGUAAUACGUAGGGUGCGAGCGUUAAUCGGAAUUACUGGGCGUAAAGAGUGUGUAGGCGGUGUUCCCAGUCUGUUGUGAAAUCUCCCGGCUUAACUGGGAGGGUGCAGCGGAAACUAGAAUGCUAGAGGGUGGGAGAGGUAAGCGGAAUUCCUGGUGUAGCGGUGAAAUGCGUAGAUAUCAGGAGGAACACCUGUGGUGUAGACAGCUUACUGGACCACUUCUGACGCUGAGACACGAAAGCGUGGGCAGCAAACAGG
rnacentral:rRNA from 1 species